GACGAACCGUGCGAACGUUAUUCGGAAUCACUGGGCUUAAAGCGCGUGUAGGCGGGCCGCCGCGUCGGCUGCUGAAAUCCCCCGGCUCAACCGGGGAACGGGCACCGAUAUGGGCGGCCUCGAGGGGGGUAGGGGGGACUGGAACUUCCGGUGGAGCGGUGAAAUGCGUUGAGAUCGGAAGGAACGCCCGUGGCGAAAGCGAGUCCCUGGACCCUUUCUGACGCUGAGACGCGAAAGCCAGGGGAGCGAACGGG
rnacentral:rRNA from 1 species